AGAGUUUGAUCUGGCUCAGGACGAACGCUGGCGGCGCGCUUAACACAUGCAAGUCGAGCGAGAACCUAGGCUUCGGCUUAGGGGAAAGCGGCGAACGGGUGAGUAUCACGUGGGUAAUCUGCCCUCGACAUCGGGAUAGCCCGGGGAAACCCGGAUUAAUACCGAAUGGCCCAUCCGCUCUUCGGAGCGGCUGGAAAAGGUAGCUUCGGCCUCCGGUCGAGGAGGAGCCCGCGGCGGAUUAGCUUGUUGGUGAGGUAAUGGCUCACCAAGGCGACGAUCCGUAGCUGGUCUGAGAGGACGAUCAGCCACACUGGGACUGAGACACGGCCCAGACUCCUACGGGAGGCAGCAGUGGGGAAUCUUGCGCAAUGGGCGAAAGCCUGACGCAGCGACGCCGCGUGCGGGAAGAAGGCCUUCGGGUUGUAAACCGCUUUCAGGAGGGACGAAGCCACUCGGGUUAAUAGCCCAGAGGGUGACGGUACCUCCAGAAGAAGCCCCGGCUAACUACGUGCCAGCAGCCGCGGUA
rnacentral:rRNA from 1 species